GUGUAAUAGGAAAUAUUGAUUAAUCAACAUGAAACAUAAUAAACCUUUGCAGAGAGCGCCUGCUCGGACGCAAAGGUGAGCGCCAAUAGCGACUGCGGGGCGUGGUGGAUGAAAACCUCAUAUCAGAGGACUAUCGGUAAAACCGUUGGUCAUUCCUUCGGUGGCUGUGGAACUAGCAAUACGCCAGACAGUGCCUUACUAUAUAUAUUUUCUACUUUUAUACAUCAUACGUCACAAAGGGGAUGGCCGAAACGACUUAAAGGGAAACGUUUUUCCAAUAGGCAAUAUUUAUUGCGAAGGAUCCGAAUUUAGCAAUAUCUGAAUUGUAAUGCAUUUCAGAGGAGAUACACGAAUUUCAACUACGGCCACCGUGAUACUUAAAUAUUCGACAUCCGAAGUGAAACAUAUUUAAAUUGGCACCUUCUCUUCUUCCGUACAUCCGACGAUACAUACUACGUGGAUAGUACAAAUGUCUGACCAUCAACCCGAUUAAGGGAAGAUGUGCUAUUUGAAAUUGAACCAUCACAAAUCCUCCGGAUGGUGUUCGAGUCCAUUUGGCGAGAAAGACACCUAAUCUUCUGGUGUGUGGAAACAACAUGUCGCCAUUGCUAAGCUAUCACGAUAGCAACCAUCCACUUGAAUACUGGAUUUUAAUAAACGAGCACAUUAGACUGUGGAAACAGAAGAUCGUUUCAAGAAACAUUUCUAAGAUGUAAGCAGCCAUUGCUCGUUGAUUAAUAUACUUGAAAUGCCUGUAUCUUCUAUGAAUGUAUUAUAAUUUAGAUAUUGGUAAAUUCAGAUUUUUCGCAAUAAAUGUUGCCUAUUGGAA